rnacentral:rRNA from 1 species
CGCGUAGGCGGGGAGGUAAGUCGGGUGUGAAAUCCCUCGGCCCAACCGAGGAACUGCGCCCGAAACUGCUUCUCUUGAGUCCCGGAGAGGAAGAUGGAACUCCCGGUGUAGCGGUGAAAUGUGUAGAGAUCGGGAGGAACACCGGUGGCGAAGGCGGUCUUCUGGACGGUGACUGACGCUGAGGCGCGAAAGCGUGGGGAGCAAACG